rnacentral:sRNA from 3 species
AUGUACCACUCGUACACUGCGGCUCCUGCGCGCCGUCCGCGCCCACCUGACGGCUGCUCGCUACGUUUUGUUAGCA